rnacentral:rRNA from 1 species
CCUACGGGUGGCAGCAGUGAGGAAUAUUGGUCAAUGGCCGGAAGGCUGAACCAGCCAUGCCGCGUGAAGGUCAGUGCCCUAUGGGCGUUAAACUUCUUUUGUGCGGGAGCAAUAAUGGUCACGUGUGGCCAGACGAGAGUACCGUACGAAUAAGCAUCGGCUAACUCCGUGCCAGCAGCCGCGGUAAUACGGGGGAUGCAAGCGUUAUCCGGAUUUAUUGGGUUUAAAGGGUGCGUAGGCUGUGAUGUAAGUCAGCGGUUAAAUGCCCGCGCUCAACGGGGUGAAGUGCCAUUGAUACUGGCUUGCUAGAAGGCCGAUGCCGUCGGAGGAAUGUGUGGUGUAGCGGUGAAAUGCAUAGAUAUCACACAGAACACCGAUUGCGAAGGCAUCUGACGAAUCCGCGAUUGACGCUGAUGCACGAAAGCGUGGGUAUCAAACAGGAUUAGAUACCCUUGUAGUC